rnacentral:rRNA from 1 species
GUGUCAGCCGCCGCGGUAAUACGUAGGGGGCAAGCGUUGUCCGGAUUUACUGGGCGUAAAGCGCACGCAGGCGGUCGUGUAAGUUUGGGGUUACAGCUCCCGGCUCAACUGGGAGAGCGCCUUGAAGACUGCAGGACUUGAGGGCCAGAGAGGGACACAGAAUUCCGGGUGUAGUGGUGAAAUGCGUAGAUAUCCGGAGGAAUACCAAAGGCGAAGGCAGUGUCCUGGCUGGUGACUGACGCUGAGGUGCGAAAGCUAGGGGAGCGAACGGGAUUAGAUACCCCGGUAGUCCUAGCCGUAAACGAUGACCACUAGGUGUGGGAGGUAUCGACCCCUUCCGUGCCGUAGCCAACGCGUUAAACGUGCCGCCUGGGAAGUACGGUCGCAAGAUUAAAACUCAAAGGAUUGACGG